rnacentral:rRNA from 1 species
CGCCUCUUGCCCAAUAUAAGAGGUUGCGCCUGCCCAGUGACAAAAGUUCAACGGCCGCGGUAUUUUGACCGUGCGAAGGUAGCGUAAUAACUUGUCUCCUAAAUAGAGACCCGUAUGAAUGGCACGACGAGGGCCAAACUGUCUCCUUUUCCCAGUCGAUGAAAUUGAUCCCUCCGUGCAGAAGCGGAGAUAUGACCAUAAGACGAGAAGACCCUGUGGAGCUUUAGACUCCGGACAUCCCAUCCUACGCGCCCCUUUUUGAAUUAGGAAAGACCAGAUGGCAACUGUCCCUGUCUUUGGUUGGGGUGACCAAGGGGAAUGAAAUAACCCCCACGUGGAAAGGUAAAUAAUUCACCUAAAAUCAGAGCCACAUCUCUAGUUACCAGAACUUCUGACCGUCAAGACCCAGCAAUGCUGAGCAACGGACCAAGUUACCCCAGGGAUAACAGCGCAAUCCUCUUUCAGAGCCCCUAUCGACAAGAGGGUUUACGACCUCGAUGUUGGAUCAGGGCACCCUAAUGGUGCAGCCGCUAUUAAGGGUUCGUUUGUUCAACGAUUAAAGCCCU